CCUACGGGGGGCAGCAGUGAGGAAUAUUGGUCAAUGGACGAGAGUCUGAACCAGCCAAGUAGCGUGAAGGAUGACUGCCCUAUGGGUUGUAAACUUCUUUUAUAUGGGAAUAAAAUGUUCCACGUGUGGGAUUUUGUAUGUACCAUAUGAAUAAGGAUCGGCUAACUCCGUGCCAGCAGCCGCGGUAAUACGGAGGAUCCGAGCGUUAUCCGGAUUUAUUGGGUUUAAAGGGAGCGUAGGUGGAUUGUUAAGUCAGUUGUGAAAGUUUGCGGCUCAACCGUAAAAUUGCAGUUGAAACUGGCAGUCUUGAGUACAGUAGAGGUGGGCGGAAUUCUUGGUGUAGCGGUGAAAUGCUUAGAUAUCACGAAGAACUCCGAUUGCGAAGGCAGUUCACUGGACUGCAACUGACACUGAGGCUCGAAAGUGUGGGUAUCAAACAGGAUUAGAUACCCGAGUAGUC
rnacentral:rRNA from 1 species